AUUGAACGCUGGCGGCAGGCCUAACACAUGCAAGUCGAGCGAGCGGCGGACGGGUGAGUAAUGUAUGGGGACUGCCCGUUAGAGGGGGGUAACUACUGGAGACGGUAGCUAAUACCGCAUACUAUCGGAUAACCCAUAUGGGAUUAGCUAGUAGGUGAGGUAAUGGCUCACCUAAGAGACGAUCACUAGCUGGUCUGAGCGGAUGUUCAGACAGACUGGGACUGAGAAACGGCCCAGACUCCUACGGAGGAAGGAGUGGGGAAUAUUGCACAAUGGGCGGAAGCCUGAUGCAGCCAUGCCGCGUGUAUGAAGAAGGCCCUAGGGUUGUAAAGUACUUUCAGUCGGGAGGCGUUACCGACAGAAGAAGCACCGGCUAACUCCGUGCCAGCAGCCGCGGUAAUUC
rnacentral:rRNA from 1 species